AAAGAUGAGGAGCUUGCUCUUCAAAUCGAGUGGCGAACGGGUGAGUAACGCGUGAGGAACCUGCCUCAAAGAGGGGGACAACAGUUGGAAACGACUGCUAAUACCGCAUAAGCCCACGGCUCGGCAUCGAGCAGAGGGAAAAGGAGUGAUCCGCUUUGAGAUGGCCUCGCGUCCGAUUAGCUGGUUGGUGAGGUAACGGCCCACCAAGGCGACGAUCGGUAGCCGGACUGAGAGGUUGAACGGCCACAUUGGGACUGAGACACGGCCCAGACUCCUACGGGAGGCAGCAGUGGGGAAUAUUGCACAAUGGGGGAAACCCUGAUGCAGCGACGCCGCGUGGAGGAAGAAGGUCUUCGGAUUGUAAACUCCUGUUGUUGAGGAAGAUAAUGACGGUACUCAACAAGGAAGUGACGGCUGACUACGUGCCAGCAGCCGCGGUAAAACGUAGGUCACAAGCGUUGUCCGGAAUUACUGGGUGUAAAGGGAGCGCAGGCGGGAGGACAAGUUGGAAGUGAAAUCCAUGGGCUCAACCCAUGAACUGCUUUCAAAACUGUUUUUCUUGAGUAGUGCAGAGGUAGGCGGAAUUCCCGGUGUAGCGGUGGAAUGCGUAGAUAUCGGGAGGAACACCAGUGGCGAAGCGGCCUACUGGGCACCAACUGACGCUGAGGCUCGAAAGUGUGGGUAGCAAACAGAUUAGAUACCCUGGUAGUCCACACCGUAAACGA
rnacentral:rRNA from 1 species